rnacentral:rRNA from 1 species
UUGACCUCAAAUCAGGUAGGACUACCCGCUGAACUUAAGCAUAUCAAUUAGCGGAGGAAG